UCAGUGUCAAUAUUUUUAUAUAUUGGUACCAUUAAAAAUAGGUACAACCGGGGACAAGUCUUAACACGUUAAACUAUGACAUUUUAUUGAAAUAGUAAAUCAUUAUACAAAAAUUCCACCUGACCCUUCACGUCAAAAAUCAAAUUUGCAUUGUAAAGAAGCAGCUGUUUCAAGUUCUCUAGCAGAAAUUCUACAGCAGCAUCAAACAUUAUUUUGCCAAUUAAUUUCUUGAUUAAAAGGAAAAUCUAACUGGAUGUUGUAGCUAUACAUUGUGUCAAGUGAAGAGGAUAAAGCUUGUGGAUCAAUCAACAUUUGUCUUGCUUCCAGCGGCAAAGUGGAGGUUCGAAUCCUGGUGAGAACCUGCGGCCAGAUUUAUUUGAUAUGGAGCAAUCACUUUGGAGGAGGAUCUCUUGUGCGCAGAAGUGUACAGGCAGUGAAGGGAAUUUGUGAUCCAGUUGAGGCAUAACCCGCGAUUUACCCCUUCCAAGGUUCUAGGGGCAAGGGUCUUGGGGGUUCAGGAUUUAAUCUAGUGUAAAUUGGGAUACUUGGAUAUCAAAAAAAAAAAAAAGAUGAUGAAGCUUGAAGCUUGAAGAAAGAACUCAGAAAAAGCUUUGAUAUUUUCAGGAAAGUGCAGUGGAAAUUGCUUAUAGAAACGAAUUAUUGAUGCAACUUGAGAGACCAAGUCAUUGUAUAAUCUUUUAUUCUGAA
rnacentral:lncRNA from 1 species